rnacentral:lncRNA from 1 species
UGGGUUGAUGCGAUGUCAGGCGUCUUAUAAAUGCCGUGCGAUCCGCUGGCGUCAGGCGUCCAGUCGGUGUCAGAUGUCCGAUUGGUGUCAGAAGAUCGGGUGCCGGACGGUUUGGCGUCAGACGUCCCGUCCCGUCGGCGUCAGGCAUCAGACGUCCCAUCGGUGUCAGGAGAUCGGGUGCCGGACGAUUCGGGGAACGCGGGGUGCCGCCAGGCGUCCCAUCGGGAACGCGAACCGCCGCGGGCGAUUUAAUUCGGAACCGCGGCCC